CAAUAGCGUAUAUUAAAGUUGUUGCAGUUAAAAAGCUCGUAGUUGGAUUUCUGGCUGGAGCGAUCGGUCCGCCCCGCAAGGGGUGUGUACUAGCGUCGUCUCCGACCAUCCUUGUGGGAACUGUGCGGCCGUUAACUCGGUUGUAUAUGGGAACACAUCGUUUACUGUGAAAAAAUUAGAGUGUUUAAAGCAGGCUUAAGCCGUUGAAUACAUUAGCAUGGAAUAAUAAGAUAAGACUUGGGUCAUUAUUUUGUGUUUGUCGGAGUCGAGGUAAUAGAUUAAUAAGGGAGUAGUUGGGGGUUAGGUUCUAUAUUUAAUUUAGUUCAGAGGU
rnacentral:rRNA from 1 species